GGGUUUGUCACGUGGGUUGGGGCUAAAGUAAGGAAUAGGGUUGGGGCCAGAUUAAGGUUAAUUAGGUUAGGGUUAGGGCCAGAUUAAUGGAGUGGUUAGGGUUAGGGCCAGAAUAUGGGUUGGGGCUCAUUUUAGGGUUAGGGUUAGGGUAGGGGUUAGGGGUUAGGGGUUAGGGUUAGGUUAGGGGCCUAUUGAUCUUGUACAGUCACUAUUGUGAGUCCGGUGCACUGGCAACAGCUGCCUGGUCACUGUCACUCAUGUCUCACCCCUUGUGGCAAACCAGUCUAUUAUCACUCUCAUUAGAAGAAAAAAAAUUCAAUUGAAGACACAAUAUUCUUUUUUUUUUUUUUUUUUUUUUUUUUUUUUUUUUUUUUUUUUUUUUGCCCCAGCAUGUACCUCUCCAACUUUUAUUGUCAUGUCAAGAGUCUCACAAAGCAGCAAUAAUUGUCAAUACAAUUGAAAGGGAGCAAUUCAGACUGCGUUCAGGCCCCGUGGAUGUUGAGUUCGCAGUCUGGAAAUCCACAAUCUCUCAUAUCUCCUCCUCUGGCCCUCCGUCCAUGUCGCACAGGUUUGAAGUCCCGUUAUACUGAGAUGUUGUAAUGUGUGAAUUUGGAAGUGCAAUACUAGUGGAGUGUCCAGUCCAUUCCUCUCAAUAUUGUAAAUAUGUUGUUUUAACCUCUCCAACAGAGUUUGACCUGUUUCACCCACAUAGAGUAGACCACAUUCUUCGCAACAGAUGCAAUAAACGAUGUUGCUCGUGUUUAGGGACAUUCUCUGUAAGAUGGGUGCCCCUAUUUUCCCAUAAGGAUUAUACAAGAACCGUUUCGGUUGAAAGGCCCAAUGAUUGGGUUUCCCCGAUCUUAUACGUCUCAUCUGUUCUGGCAACUUGGCCCUGACGAGCAUAUCUCUCAGAUUCUUGUUCCUCCUGUGGGCUGAAAUCACUCUGCAGUCUUGGAGUCGUAUCAAACCAGAGGUGUAUUUCUUAAAGUUUGUUUUGAGUUGAUGAUGC
ensembl:lncRNA